rnacentral:rRNA from 1 species
UGGGGAAUAUUGGACAAUGGGCGCAAGCCUGAUCCAGCAAUGCCGCGUGUGUGAAGAAGGCCUUCGGGUUGUAAAGCACUUUUAUCAGGAGCGAAACGCUGUCGGCUAAUACCCGGCGGAACUGACGGUACCUGAGGAAUAAGCACCGGCUAACUUCGUGCCAGCAGCCGCGGUAAUACGAAGGGUGCAAGCGUUAAUCGGAAUUACUGGGCGUAAAGCGUGCGUAGGCGGUUUCUUAAGUCUGCUGUGAAAUCCCCGGGCUCAACCUGGGAAUGGCAGUGGAUACUGGGAGGCUAGAGUGUGUCAGAGGGUGGUGGAAUUCCCGGUGUAGCGGUGAAAUGCGUAGAGAUCGGGAGGAACAUCAGUGGCGAAGGCGGCCACCUGGGACAACACUGACGCUGAGGCACGAAAGCGUGGGGAGCAAACAGGAUUAGAUACCCUGGUAGUCCACGCCCUAAAACGAUGCGAACUGGAUGUUGGUCUCAACUCGGAGAUCAGUGUCGAAGCUAACGCGUUAAGUUCGCCGCCUGGGGAGUACGGUCGCAAGACUGAAACUCAAAGGAAUUGACGGGGUCAUGAGCUGUUUCC